rnacentral:snRNA from 1 species
GCGCUCACUUUGGCAGCACAUAUGCUAAAUUGGAGUGAUAGAUUAACAUGGCCCCUGCACAGGGAUGACAUGCGAAUUCCUGAGGUGUUCUAUAUUUUA